UGCGUUCCAUUAGUUAGUAGGCGGGGUAACGGCCCACCAAGACUACGAUGGAUAGGGGUUCUGAGAGGAAGGUCCCCCACAUUGGAACUGAGACACGGUCCAAACUCCUACGGGAGGCAGCAGUGAGGAAUAUUGGUCAAUGGACGAGAGUCUGAACCAGCGAAGUAGCGUGAAGGAUGAAGGUCCUAUGGGUUGUAAACUUCUUUUAUAAGGGAAUAAAGUGUUCCACGUGUGGGAUUUUGUAUGUACCAUAUGAAUAAGGAUCGGCUAACUCCGUGCCAGCAGCCGCGGUAAUACGGAGGAUCCGAGCGUUAUCCGGGAUUUAUUGGGUUUAAAGGGUAGCGUAGGACGUGUAGUUAAGUCAAGUUGUGAAAAGUUUGCGGGCUCAAACCGUAAAAAUUGCAGUUGAAUACUGGUCAGUCCUUGAAGUGCCGGUAGGAAGGUUGGGCGGAAAUUUCGUGGUUAG
rnacentral:rRNA from 1 species